rnacentral:lncRNA from 13 species
AUGUAUUAUACAAACGCGCCCUCUCCCCCUUCCCUCCCUCCCUCCCUCCCCCAUCCCUCCCUCCCUCCCUCCCCCAAUCUAUUUCUCUCUAUCACUCCCUCACUGAAUGUGCAUGUGUGUGUGUGCAUGCCUAAUUGUCUGCGAAUGUGUGUGUCUCAGUCCAUCCUCCACCUGGGGCGAGCAGCCAUGCUAGAGCUGAACAGCUGGACUCUUCUGCUAAACCCGCCAAAAUAAUAGCAGCAAUUUGGCACUUGAUGAAUCCUAGGGAGACGUGAGGGGCUGUGUCCCAAAUUACACCAUAUUCACCAUUUAGUGCAUUAACAGUAGUGCACUAGAUAGGGAAUAGGGUGUCAUUGGGGAAGCAAUCCCAUUUCAUCCCCUUCCAUCUACACCCUGAUAGCAUAAUGCUCCUCCAGUCUUUAGCACAAUGCAAUCUGAUGUUUGAGUGUAAUUGUGAACAACAAACGGCUUUAAUCAUUUGUGAAUGUGCCUAUGUUUUCUUUUGAGAGCUGCAUGCUUCCUGUUAAUGGUAGGCUGCUUCACACAAUGGAACACAAGGACAGGUCGAGUGCUCUCCAGUAGGCUUUCUGUAGACAUGUAAACAUACACACAAACACAUAGGAACAGGCUACCAGCCAAGUGGAAAUGCUUGAAUUAAGUACUUGACACACAUCCCGGCCCUCCUUUCUUAGCGAUGCCCUCACGAGACCCCUCCUAGCUCAGAGGUCAGAGGUCAGGCCUCAGAGAGAGGGCUGUGUGUAUGCGCAUGCGUGUGUGUUUGUGCAUCUGUGCAUGUGUGUGCGCGUGAGGGGGUGGGGGUAGGCACUAGGCAGUUGUUCCAUUGGAGGUGGAAGAGGAGGAGGAGGAGGAGGAGCAGGAACAAAGGACUGAGAGGUAAAGGGAUUCCAUUGUGUUUUCUCUGUGGACAGAAGACAGUACAGCAUCUGUCACAGAAGCCUUAGCACUGCCAUGCUAGGGACAAUAGAACGACCAAGUGUCCAUCUCUGAGGAUGAAGUGGUGAUGGCUGGCGGGCGGUUGUAGACAGACUCUUUGUAGGAUUCAAUAGAACAGCCUCCAUUUACUACGGUCUUUCUAAAGCCCCAAAGAGGAGCAGACAGUUAUGGAACUACCCUGUCAAUUACUACCAGGAGUGCAUGACAAUUAUCUCUUCUUCCUCCUUAAAUGUGCACUUGUUCACUUCCCUUCCUGGAUUUGAAAGGAAAUUACUGGUAUAUAGAAAAUUCCUCUAGCCCAUGCCAUCACCAAUCAAAUGAUUUUUGAAUUUGUUGGGAGUAGUGAACGAGCAGGAAGAAGGAGAGAUUAUUGGGACUUACCCCAGGCAUGUGCAAAACAGGAUGUGAUAGACCCCAAAGGUAUGGCUAAAACAAACAUGGAAACACAAGGAAAGAAAGACACACCUUACUGCUAACUAAUAUAACAGAUGCUAUUGGUGUCAAAUGGUUUGCUUUUGCAGCUUGGAUGCACUAAUUAGGUGGAAUAAAUUCUCAAAAUCUCUCAGCGCAUUUACACAUUCAUUGAGAUUUUUUCCUCGAUGUCUUCCCUCUCCAUNNNNNNNNNNGUGUGUGUGUGUGUGUGUGUGUGUGUGUGUGUGUGUGUGUGUGUGUGUGUGUGUGUGACCGGGUGUAUGUGUUUGUGCUAAUGCUAGUACCACAGAGCUAUUGCGGUCACUUAUGCAGCCUCCUCUCCACCUACUGUAGCAGACCUUUCCUUCCUCCAUAUACACCCUCUUAUGAUGAUUAAUUCAUUACAGACAUCAUAUCCUUUCCUCUCAGCCUGGUGUGUGUGUGUAGCUCUGGGAAAACAUACAGUGCUGUGGGUUUGUGCACAGAACUACAGGGCUCAGCUCUAUGAUCAUAUGUCAAAGCAGGGUUAGCUAGCUAGCCUCAGAGUACAGUACAAAGAAAGGAGGGCUAGCUAGCUACCAAGUCUCUAAUUAGAACAGGCAGGAGGUAUCCUCUCAAAGCUAGCUAGAUAGCCUGUGAGAUUAGAACACAGAAAGAGGACUGCUAGCUAGCUACUUACAGCUAACCUUUAGAGCACAGAGUGAGGAGCGCUGCCUAGCUAGCUAGCCGCUGAAAGGAGAACAUAGUGAGCGG